UACAUCAUCAAACCAUUUAUAAGCAACACUGACCUCCAAACAACAACACAGGAUUCUUACAAGUAAGUAACACAACAUAAAUCUUCAUUAGCGCUCUAAUUAUUCUUUCAAUUACUAGCAAGUGGCAUGUCCGAGGUUGUUGCCUGUUCAGUUCCUGGGCUUGCAGCCCUGCGUGCUUGACGAGGACAAGUCCGUUUCCGGUGAGCUUCAGGAUUUUCCCAACGUUGUGCUCCUCUCAUAACGAAGGCUCCAAACACAGUUCCCAUAAAAAAGGCAAAAACAGGCCUCAUCUCCCUUGUUGUUUGUUUAUAAACUCUACUCUAGAUAUUGUGUAAAAGCAAGAGCAAGACUAGAUAUGGUGUUGGGAACUAGGCGAUUGAGCUGGUGGAUUUAUAAAAGUUUUGUCUUUAGAAGACAUCUUGAUGCCCAAGUUGUCUUUGCAAAUGAUUUCACUAAGCUAGCCUCUACUCCAAGGGUCAACCCCGCUGUCUUGCCGUGUUAAAUAUUUUAUUCUAGAUGGCGGCAUCCAUACUUGGUGGAUAAGGUGCAAAUUUGACUGGGUCAGUUAGCAUUUCUGGUCUAAACCAGCCCCUAACAAUCAAUGAAUUUGCUCUCAUUAAUGGGACUUCCUCGAAAAUAAAAUAAAGAACGAAUCAAUAAAGGAAAAGAAAAUAAACUUUUUUUAUUUUGUCCUUAAAUCGUAUCUUUGAUAUGUGUAAAUGAUCAUGCUUUAGGUGAUGAUAAACUUAUUAUGUUCUUAAACUAUCAUCCAUUCAUGGGGGUUUUAUUUAUUUUUCUCAGAUUCUUUUUUGAAGAACUUCAUGAAUUGGAUUAAAAAUGUAGAUAUAAUAUGCUAGUGAGAGAGUGUAUGAGAGAUAGGGACAGUGAUGCUUGAUACUUUCUAUUAAAAAAUAUGUUUUUGUCUUAAUUGUAUUCUUGUAUUGUCAAAUAACUGGUUGAUAGUGUUGAUGCAAAAAAAUUAUCGUUAUUGUUUAAUUGAAAAAAGAUGUAUUUCUUUAAUUAUUUUUCAAUUUCAGUUUUUUUUUUUUCGUUCUUACCUUUUGAUUUAUAUUGAGAUAUCCCAUAAACUUUGGAGAUGAAAUUAAGAUUUACACAUAGCGGAACAGAAAUAAAGAUGUAGGUCUAAUCGAAACAAAUCAAAAUUUUAAUGAAACUGAAAAAAUACAUGAACCUGGAGAUUAAAAUCUACCCUAAAUUGGCUGACGACCAUGAAGGUGCGACAAAUCAGAAGAUAGGGACCCUGUUUUCUUUAGCUGUUCUGAGGUGAAAGUAGUUUGGUGCCAGCUAUAUCUUUUCUGUUUGGCAAGAGAGAGAUAAGAAGCGCGUGAGAAUGUUGCUUCGGAUUCUCUACUUUGCCAAGGCAAAUUAUCCAAUCUGUUCAGUACAGAUUACGUAAGACAACGCUGCUGAGACAUGCUAUGAACAGUAAUCCCAGAUAUGAUUUGUUAUAUAUAAUCACUGGGAUUUUGCUGAUAAUUUUCUCGGUCAGAGUCUGUAAAAUGGACUUAGUCUUCUGUCGUGUAUGCUUCAAUUUCCCAGGAUAGUAUCCUGUUUUAGCUCUUGUAGGAGGGCGAGCACCAAUCUGUUUUUUUUGUAAUAAAAUUCUCGAUAAUCAAGACUGGGACCUUGAGAUACCUGAAUGUUAAUUUCUGCUAGGACAGAACAAAGAGGACGAAUGUAAACACCAAAUAGAAUGCGAAAUGAUAAGCAAGAAGCUAUCUUGGCCACACAAUUACUGCACAUGGCGAUGGGCCAAAGAUUUUGCUUUUUUGAGUAACGCCAUUCACAGAAUUGAAUAAAAAUCCAGCUUCAAGUACACAGCAUUCAUGGCUUAACAUUGGCCACUGCUCCUGUAGUGGCUGCCUGUUAUUUUCAGUAUUUAAUUGUCUAUGCAUUUGUAUUUCUCUAUAUAAAGCUUCUUUUGGAGCACUGAAAGUUCCAUAACGUGUGUGUUGCCUGAAAGAAAUGGCCUUCAAGGGUUCUAAGGCAGCUGCUAUUUUUGUUCUGCUCAAUGUCGUUUUUUUCACUUGUGUCUCAUCUCAUAACGUACCGGCCUGUCCUCCAAAAGCUCCCCCAGCCCCGAAGAAGCCAGCCAAAUGCCCUAAAGAUACCCUCAAAUUUGGUGUUUGUGGCAACUGGUUAGGGCUGGUUCACGAGGUUCUUGGGACCCCUCCAAGCGAGGAAUGCUGUACCCUUAUCAAGGGUCUUGCUGAUCUUGAAGCAGCAUUGUGUUUAUGCACAGCUAUUAAGGCCAAUGUCUUGGGAGUUGUCAAGCUCAAAGUUCCCGUUGCAGUUAGCUUGCUCCUAAGUGCUUGUGGAAAGAAAGUUCCUGAAGGCUUUAAAUGCGCUUAGAACUCCUUUUCCUGUUCAUUGAUGUUUGUUUCACGUUUGAAACUUGUUUGCUCUUGUAAAACUCGCUUUCCUGUAAGAAGCGAAGCUGAAUGCCUCUCAAUAAAAUGUGUUUUGAGUCCCUUCCUUUUGCUUUGCAUCUGUUCUAAAGAGUUGAGACAAAUAAUGGCAAAAUGCGCAAACAUGUCGAAGCUAGAUUACAGCUUAAGAGCUGCAAGGCAUUUUGGUUAAUUCAUUCACUUUAAACGUGUAAAGGUGCGCAGGAGAAUCAGUAGAAUCCUCAUCAUCUACCCUGUUUUAUAAUAAUAAUUUAUUUAUUUUAAAAAAAUAAAGAAGCUAAUAAGAUGCUGUAAAACCUUUCAGCAAAGCGUCGCAAAAGAAACAGAUGGCCCCCAGCACCAAGGGGUUUAAAUCUUGUAGAACAUGUCCAUAGGAGAGGCAUCAAAGCCCGUUGAAUCACCAAAGGAGCACUCCUUUUCCAGUGCAGCAGUAAGGUUUGAAGCUUUGACUCAAUUGUGCAAACGGAUUUUUGUAGCAGGGCUUUCUCUAAUCGAAAACAUGUUUUUGAAAUGAUAAUUGUGUAUGAUAAUGUACAAUUUGACAUGUUUUUAAGUUUGGGGCUUAAAGAAUGUGUUGAUACUUUAGAAGCAAAAUAAAAUCUAUACAGAAUUAGAGUUUAUUUAUAGUAUUAGAAUUUGUUUACGGUUGCUAUUCUAAUGACCAUCUUUUAUUCUAUGUAAUAGAAUAUCAGAAUAUCAGUACUUGAGCUAUAUUGGACGCUAGUUAUUGAAUGAUAAACUUUCAGCCUAUGCAAUCUUUAGUUUUAGUAAUAGAGUAAGGGUACAUGUUGCUUUAUCAAAUGAAAACCGAUAGACCGUUUCCACCAAGGCACUAACCCCAAGCACAAAAGUAAGACAAUCACUCAUAAAGAUGGGAAAGGGGGCAAAAAACUAUAGGCUAAUACAUGGAAACCUAAGCUCCCCGAUUUUGCAAAUAAUUCAGAUAGAUCUUCACAUGAAUAAGACUAGAGUUACUGAAGAUGGGAUCAUAAUAUAGGUGCCGAACCCUGUCAUGGUGAUGGAUCGAUCAAUCAUUCUGAAACAUCAUCUCUGUCUUUCUUGUUGCUGGGUUUGCGAUGGUUUUCUUCCAUCUGUUUGGCCAUGGAAAGGCCAAAUUCAACAAGUUUUUUUAUGUUAGGCACGUUGUAGUUCUGGGCUAUGUAGAUCCCAGACAGUGUCCCGGACAUGAACGAGAAGGAGCUCCUUAUUAAACCCAUUUGGCUCCCAAGAACUAUUUAGUAUGCAGCUAGCUGUGUAGAGUAUGAGAAAGAGACUUGGCUUGAUCUGAGAGAUGUGAAUCAGGAAUUUGACGGUCUUGAGAAAUCAAAGAUGGGUGUGAAGGGGAUUCGAAAGGCCGAGAUGUCGUAGUUCCCAAGACUCGAAAUGAGCCCUCCUUUUGUGUACAUGGUGACUCCUCCUCCAAGGGUCAACCCUUCUCGGCUAAGCAACAAUUUUUAUCAAAGGAUAGCGACAAUUUAAAGGAUAGAAGACAACAUAGCGUUACUUUUACUUUGUUUCAAAAAAAAUUCUCAAUUUAUCUUGUUUAAAAUAGAUUAUGUAAAACUAUUUAUCCUUAGUGUUUGCUGAACUAGAAAUGAAAAAAUAUUUUUUUAUUAAUAUUUUUGUAUCAUUUUAAUAUGUUAAUAUUAUACAUAAAUUUUUAAAAAAUAUUUUAUAUAUUUUUAAAUAAAAAUUUUUUUUAUUUUUACUAUAUUACCAAACAGAUUCUUCAAGGAUCAUCUUAAGGAUACAUACCGGAAAAUGUUUGCUUUAAUUUUAAUUUCUUUUAAUUAGUACUUUGAUUUUAAUUUCUUUUCAUUAUUACGAGGAAAAGAGAAAAAUGGUAUUGAAUAUCUACUUUCAAGUUCUUGAGGAUAUGGUAAAAUUAGAUGUUAGUCCCUAACUUUCUAAAAUUCUAAAAUGAAUCCCUCGAAGUCACAUAAGAUUUAAGACUUCAAAUCUCAUUCAUUGCAAAACUAUUUGAGGAUAAAAUGUGAUUAGAGAAAUUAUUGUCGUUGAGCAAAUACGGCCCAAGAAAUCAAUAAUAACAGCAGACAAAGAACCAAUCUGUUAAUUAGGCCACUUAUUUCCUGAAUUUUAAUUUAUUUGAGAAUUGAUUCAUCAACUAAAAUUGACCUCCUGCAAUAUCGCUCAUUUAAAAUUGGAUCCUUUUGUUAAUUUUUGUAGGGUUUUUUUCCCUAUUAAUUAACGUUUAAAAAUCAACUCUGUAAAUAAUUUGAGUAUGUUGUACCCUUUACUUCUAGUUUUUGGUUAUUUUAAACCUCCCAUCUAUUUUUGUAUGUGAAAGUCAUAUGAUUUAUGUACAAAUUGAUCCAAACCCUUGAUUUAUUGACUUGUUUCUUAACCUUUAGAUGAAUUUGACUUUUAAAUAAAAAAAAUAAAAAAUAUAUAUUUAAAAAUGAUACAAAAAUAUCCAUAAAUAGGAAAAAAUAUCCAUGAAAAAUAAAAAUAAAAAACAAAAAAGAAAAUCUCAUAAAAUUCGGAAAACAAAAAAAAUCUCAAUUUUCAUCUUUGGACUUUUUUUCUGUAAUUAGAUUUAUUGCUAAAUUUUUUUAUUUUACCUCACAAUCAAUUUAACAGAAAAAUAAAAUAAAAUGGAGGGGAGGUUUAAAGUAAAAAAAAAAGAAAAGAAUAAAAAUAGAAGUAAAGGGUUCAAUACGAUCAAAUUGUUUGUGGAGAGUUCAAUUUGAUGAAUUUCAAUAAUAGGGGGACAAUUUGUGAAACCUACAAAAUCUAACUUGAAGUAUUCAAUUUCAAACGAAUCAAAGUUGCUAGAGGUCAAUAUCAACUUCUUAAAUGAUGAACUAGUUUUCAAUUAACUUAAAUCUCAAAAGAGAUUUGAUCCACUUAAUUAAAAAAAACAAGAAGUCAAAAUUGGAGUAAACAGAAACAAAUUAAACUCCAUCGCUGUCUUUCUUGCAGAUGCACAUAAUUUUAUUAGCAAGUAUAUAUGACAUUACAUAGAGCAGGAGUCGUCCUAUUACUAACUGUGAUGAGUUAAUCAUUCAGAAACGUCAUCGCUCUCUUUCUGGUUUCUGGGUUUGCGAUGGGUUCUUUCAAUUUGUCUAGCCAAAGAAAGGCCUGUCUCGGCAAGUUUUUUGACGUCUGGCACGUUGUAGUUCUGCGAUAUGUAGAUCCCAGCCAGUGUCCCCAACAUGAAUGAGAAGCUUCUCCUUAUCAGACCCAUGGCUGCCUCUUUUCUUCAAGGAACGAUGCUUCACUUGACUGAGCUAGCUACAGAAAAAGAAAAUUAAGCACUACUUAAGCAGGAACUAAUUCGGUAGCUUGGAGAAGGCAAGGUUGUUUAGCAGAGGAUUUAUAUAACUUGUGGGCGGUCCUGACGUAUUUCUCAAGACAUGAAGAAAACCAGAGUGACUCCUCCAGGGGUUUGAAUAUUUUUUUUUUUCAGUCCCGAGAUCUUGGUGAAAUUAUAUGUUAGUCCUCGACUUUUUAAAAGUUACUAUUGAAUAUUAAAAAAAACUUAAUAAUUGUUCAAAAAAAAUAAAGAAUAAAAGAGAAAUCCAUAUAUUUUCUUUUAUAUUUUUUCCAAUGUUUAGAAUACAAGACAAAGAGUCUAUUUAUAAGGAAAAAAAAAAUGAUAGCAGUAAUGGACACUAGAAGACUAAGUGUCAUGGAAAAUCAAGAAACUAAACUGUCAUGAAGUCUAAGAGAUUUUAAUGAGCUUUCAAUAUAUAUAUAUAUAUAUAUAUAUAUAUAUAGAUUUUAUAACAUUUUCUCUUGAACGACUAUGUACUAAAAAUGUGUCUUAUUAAAACUUUGUAAAGAAAAACUCAAUGGGAAGAAAAACCUAAGCGAAGAAAAAGAAGUACAACAUUCUUGUGUGAUUUCUGAAUACUUCAGAAUUCAAUAGAAGGUUUUAUAGAUACUUCAAGUUCACAUUAAUUUGUCCCUUAUCAAAAUGAGAUAGCUUCCGGUUAUUCCAAGUAAUUUCUUGUCAUGCUUCAGGUAGUAACUUUUUUUUCCCUGAUGAUGGGAAAAUAUUCAUUAAAAUGGUAAUGUUCAAAAUGUGUCUUAAAAACAUCACCGGUUAAAGGUUCAAGAAAUCUAAUAAUAGAUGGAGAAUCAAAACCAACAUAAAUUCAUAUUCUAUAUUGUGGAGCCAUUUUAGUCGUUUGUAGGGGCACUAUUGGCGCAUAUACAACACAACCAAAAGCUUAUAAAUGAAAUAUAUUUGAUGGUAUACAAAAAACAAGUUACAAAUGAAAAUAUCUAUGGUAAGCACUUGGUCUAAUUCUAACCAAUAAUGCAACAUGUAAUAUUGCAUGUCUACAAACAGAUGUAGGCAAUUUUUAUUUCAAAUGUAAUGGCCUAGCAAUUAAUUGAAGGCACUUAUAAAUGAUUCUGUUAGACCAUUUUGAUUAUAUACAUGAGCAAUAGGAUAUUUAACAUCAAAUCCAAUAGAAGUGCAAAAAUUAUCAAAUGCUUGAGUAUGCAAAGAUUAUCGAACUCACCAGCAUUGUCCAAUCAAAUUUUCUUGAUUGGAUAAUCAGGAGAUGUGUGUCCGUUGUAUGAUAAUAUGUGUUAUUAAUCUAGCAAAUACAACAUUUUGACUAGAAAGUUAACAAACAUGUGACCAUUUACUUCAUGCAUCAAUCAAUACCAUAAAAUAUCUAAAAGGUCUACAUGGUAGAUAAAUAGAUCCACAAAUAUCUCCUUGAUUUUUUUCAAGAAAAGAUGGUGAUUCUAUAACAACCUUAGAUGGAGAUGGUUUGGUAAUUAAUUUACCUUGAGAACAUGAGCGCAUGAUUUUUCAUUUGGUAAAAGAAUCUUCAGAUUCUUUAAAUGAUGCCCAUGUGAAUUUUCAAUAAUUCAUUGUAUUAUUAUUGAUUCUAAAUGUUCAAGUCGAUCAUGUCAAAGCAUAAAUAUUUUUGGGUUAGAACACUUGUGGUGUGUCACAACAUUUAUUUCAAUAUAUUUCAUGAAUGUGUAAUAAAUUCUAGAAGAGAAAUUAGAUAAUUUUUCAGGUAUAAUCUCUAGCCUAAAAUACAUGAAAAAAUAUAAAGAUAUUCUUUUUUGUCUUCAUCUAUUGUUUCAAUAUGAUAACCAUUAAUACAUAUAUCUUUAAAAUUGAGUAAAUACUUUUAGACUUUGGUGAAUAUAAUGCAUCUUUGCUACCCAAAUUUGUGUUAUUUGGUAACAAAAUAUUAGCUUUUCUAGGGCCUUUAAUCAUGUCUAUUGGACCUAAUAUUACAGUGACAUUAGUUUUAGUUUUAGUUAAUGUCAAAUAUUCAAAGUAUUUUUUUCUUGAAAAUUAUGUGUACUAUUUGCAAGACAUAAAUCUUCAUCAUGAAAAGGCAUGCCUCUUUUUAAAAUAUAAUUAAAGUUUAUUAUUUAACUAAAAAUUGAUAUUAUUUAUUGAAAAUAUAAUAAGAUAAAUAUCUUAAUACAAAAAAAAUAUUAAUCAUCCCCAAGGAUUCCACCACUAAAUAUGUCAUCUAUUUUAUCCAGUGUUUUUAAACCCGGUCCGGUGACCGACCCGACCCAAGGUCCGAGUCACGGGUUUUGACCUGGUCACUCGAGUCAACCUCAUUUUUUUAUAAAUCAAAAUGACAUUGUUUUGGUAAAAAAUAAAAAUAAAAAUAAUCAACGGAUUACAACAAGGUUUUUGAUCGGGUCUUACCAGGUCAACCCGCCGGAUCGGCCAGGCUUUUAACUACCCCUAUUUUUUUAUAAAAUCAGCUUGAUUCUAGCUUCGGAUCAGCCAGGUCCCGAACCGACCUGCCAGUUUUAAAACUAUGAUUUUAUCAGGGUUUUCAAAGAAAUCAGAUAUUUAUAUUCCAAUUCCCCUGGUCUUGGUAAAAAUUAUAUAUUAGUCCUUGAGGCUGGUUUUAAUAACUCCACUCAUCAUAAUAUUUUUAUCCUUUUUCAUUUUGUUUCUUUUUAUAAAAUCUUUUAUCAGUUACAUCCUCAAUCCAACUAUUAUAUUUCAAGAUGAUGGUGCAGGAAGAUUUUCAUACGAUGUGAUUCGUAAUCUACAGCCAAGAUCUGAAAGUAGAACGACAAUUAAAAAAAAUAAAGUAACUAUUUAAUUAAAAACCAUAGUAAAUCAAAUUAACACAGUACAUCAUCAAACCAUUUAUAAGCAACACUGACCUCCAAACAACAACACAGGAUUCUUACAAGUAAGUAACACAACAUAAAUCUUCAUUAGCGCUCUAAUUAUUCUUUCAAUUACUAGCAAGUGGCAUGUCCGAGGUUGUUGCCUGUUCAGUUCCUGGGCUUGCAGCCUGCGUGCUUGACGAGGACAAGUCCGUUUCCGGUGAGCUUCAGGAUUUUCCCAACGUGUGUGCUCCUCUCAUAACGAAGGCUCCAAACACAGUUCCCAUAAAAAAGGCAAAAACAGCCUCAUCUCCCUUGUUGUUUGUUUAUAAACUCUACUCUAGAUAUUGUAAAAGCAAGAGCAAGACUAGAUAUGGUGUUGGAACUAGGCGAUUGAGCUGGUGGGAUUUAUAAAAGUUUUGUCUUAGAGACAUCUUGAUGCCCAAGUUGUCUUUGCAAAUGAUUUCACUAAGCUAGCCUCUACUCCAAGGGUCAACCCCGCUGUCUUGCCGUGUUAAAUAUUUUAUUCUAGAUGGCGGCAUCCAUACUUGGUGGAUAAGGUGCAAAUUUGACUGGGUCAGUUAGCAUUUCUGGUCUAAACCAGCCCCUAACAAUCAAUGAAUUUGCUCUCAUUAAUGGGACUUCCUCGAAAAUAAAUAAAGAACGAAUCAAUAAAGGAAAAGAAAAUAAACUUUUUUAUUUUGUCCUUAAAUCGUAUCUUUGAUAUGUGUAAAUGAUCAUGCUUUAGGUGAUGAAAACUUAUUAUGUUCUUAAACUAUCAUCCAUUCAUGGGGGGUUUUAUUUAUUUUUCUCAGAUUCUUUUUUGAAGAACUUCAUGAAUUGGAUUAAAAUGUAGAUAUAAUAUGCUAGUGAGAGAGUGUAUGAGAGAUAGGGACAGUGAUGCUUGAUACUUUCUAUUAAAAAAUAUGUUUUUGUCUUAAUUGUAUUGUAUUGUCAAAUAACUGGUUGAUAGUGUUGAUGCAAAAAAAUUAUCGUUAUUGUUUAAUUGAAAAAAGAUGUAUUUCUUUAAUUAUUUUUCAAUUUCAGUUUUUUUUUUUUCGUUCUUACCUUUUGAUUUAUAUUGAGAUAUCCCAUAAACUUUGGAGAUGAAAUUAAGAUUUACACAUAGCGGAACAGAAAUAAAGAUAGUAGGUCUAAUCGAAACAAAUCAAAAGUUUUAAAUGAAACUGAAAAAAUACAUGAACCUGGAGAUUAAAAUCUACCCUAAAUUGGCUGGCGACCAUGAAGGUGAGACAAAUCAGAAGAUAGGGACCCUGUUUUCUUUAGCUGUUCUGAGGUGAAAGUAGUUUGGUGCCAGCUAUCUCUUUUCUGUUUGGCAAGAGAGAGAUAAGACAGCGCGUGAGAAUGUUGCUUCGGAUUUCUCUACUUUGCCAAGGCAAAUUAUCCAAUCUGUUCAGUACAGAUUACGUAAGACAACGCUGCUGAGACAUGCUAUGAACAGUAAUCCCAGAUAUGAUUUGUUAUAUACGAUCACUGGGAUUUUGCUGAUAAUUUUCUCGGUCAGAGUCUGUAAAAUGGACUUAGUCUUCUGUCGUGUGUGCUUCAAUUUCCCAGGAUAGUAUCCUGUUUUCAAGCUCUUGUAGGAGGGCGAGCACCAAUCUGGUGUUUUUUUUAGUAAUAAAAUUCUCGAUAAUCAAGACGGGGACCUUGAGAUCCCUGAAAUGUUAAUUUCUGCGAGGACAGAACAAAGAGGACGAAUGUAAACACCAAAUAGAAUGCGAAAUGAUAAGCAAGAAGCUAUCUUGGCCACACAAUUACUGCACAUGGCGAUGGGCCAAAGAUUUUGCUUUUUUGAGCAACGCCAUUCACAGAAUUGAAUAAAAAUCCAGCUUCAAGUACACAGCAUUCAUGGCUUAACAUUGGCCACUGCUCCUGUAGUGGCUGCCUGUUAUUUUCAGUAUUUAAUUGUCUAUGCAUUUGUAUUUCUCUAUAUAAAGCUUCUUUUGGAGCACUGAAAGCUCCAUAACGUGUGUGUUGCAUGAAAGAAAUGGCCUUCAAGGGUUCUAAGGCAGCUAUUUUUUUGUUCUGCUCAAUGUCGUUUUUUUCACUUGUGUCUCAUCUCAUAACGUACCGGCCUGUCCUCCAAAAGCUCCCCCAGCCCCGAAGAAGCCAGCCUGCCCUAAAGAUACCCUCAAAUUUGGUGUUUGUGGCAACUGGUUAGGGCUGGUUCACGAGGUUCUUGGGACCCCUCCAAGCGAGGAAUGCUGUACCCUUAUCAAGGGUCUUGCUGAUCUUGAAGCAGCAUUGUGUUUAUGCACAGCUAUUAAGGCCAAUGUCCUGGGAGUUGUCAAGCUCAAAGUUCCCGUUGCAGUUAGCUUGCUCCUAAGUGCUUGUGGAAAGAAAGUUCCUGAAGGCUUUAAAUGCGCUUAGAACUCCUUUGUUCCUGUUCAUUGAUGUUUGUUUCACUUUUGAAACUUGUUUGCUCUUGUAAAACUCGCUUUCCUGUAAGAAGCGAAGCUGAAUGCCUCUCAAUAAAAUGUGUUUUGAGUCCCUUCCUUUUGCUUUGCAUCUGUUCUAAAGAGUUGAGACAAAUAAUGGCAAAAUGCGCAAACAUGUCGAAGCUAGAUUACAGCUUAAGAGCUGCAAGGCAUUUUGGUUAAUUCAUUCACUUUAAACGUGUAAAGGUGCGCAGGAGAAUCAGUAGAAUCCUAUCAUCUACCCUGUUUUAUAAUAAUAUUUAUUUAUUUUAAAAAAAUAAAGAAGCUAAUAAGAUGCUGUAAAACCUUUCAGCAAAGCGUCGCAAAAGAAACAGAUGGCCCCCAGCACCAAGGGGUUUAAAUCUUGUAGAACAUGUCCAUAGGAGAGGCAUCAAAGCCCGUUGAAUCACCAAAGGAGCACUCCUUUUCCAGUGCAGCAGUAAGGUUUGAAGCUUUGACUCAAUUGUGCAAACGGAUUUUUGUAGCAGGGCUUUCUCUAAUCGAAAACAUGUUUUUGAAAUGAUAAUUGUGUAUGAUAAUGUACAAUUUGACAUGUUUUUAAGUUUGGGGCUUAAAGAAUGUGUUGAUACUUUAGAAGCAAAAUAAAAUCUAUACAGAAUUAGAGUUUAUUUAUAGUAUUAGAAUUUGUUUACGGUUGCUAUUCUAAUGACCAUCUUUUAUUCUAUGUAAUAGAAUAUCAGAAUAUCAGUACUUGAGCUAUAUUGGACGCUAGUUAUUGAAUGAUAAACUUUCAGCCUAUGCAAUCUUUAGUUUUAGUAAUAGAGUAAGGGUACAUGUUGCUUUAUCAAAUGAAAACCGAUAGACCGUUUCCACCAAGGCACUAACCCCAAGCACAAAAGUAAGACAAUCACUCAUAAAGAUGGGAAAGGGGGCAAAAAACUAUAGGCUAAUACAUGGAAACCUAAGCUCCCCGAUUUUGCAAAUAAUUCAGAUAGAUCUUCACAUGAAUAAGACUAGAGUUACUGAAGAUGGGAUCAUAAUAUAGGUGCCGAACCCUUGUCAUGGUGAUGGAUCGAUCAAUCAUUCUGAAACAUCAUCUCUGUCUUUCUUGUUGCUGGGUUUGCGAUGGUUUUCUUCCAUCUGUUUGGCCAUGGAAAGGCCAAAUUCAACAAGUUUUUUUAUGUUAGGCACGUUGUAGUUCUGGGCUAUGUAGAUCCCAGACAGUGUCCCGGACAUGAACGAGAAGGAGCUCCUUAUUAAACCCAUUUGGCUCCCAAGAACUAUUUAGUAUGCAGCUAGCUGUGUAGAGUAUGAGAAAGAGACUUGGCUUGAUCUGAGAGAUGUGAAUCAGGAAUUUGACGGUCUUGAGAAAUCAAAGAUGGGUGUGAAGGGGAUUCGAAAGGCCGAGAUGUCGUAGUUCCCAAGACUCGAAAUGAGCCCUCCUUUUGUGUACAUGGUGACUCCUCCUCCAAGGGUCAACCCUUCUCGGCUAAGCAACAAUUUUUAUCAAAGGAUAGCGACAAUUUAAAGGAUAGAAGACAACAUAGCGUUACUUUUACUUUGUUUCAAAAAAAAUUCUCAAUUUAUCUUGUUUAAAAUAGAUUAUGUAAAACUAUUUAUCCUUAGUGUUUGCUGAACUAGAAAUGAAAAAAUAUUUUUUUAUUAAUAUUUUUGUAUCAUUUUAAUAUGUUAAUAUUAUACAUAAAUUUUUAAAAAAUAUUUUAAUAUAUUUUUAAAUAAAAAUUAUUUUUUAUUUUUACUAUAUUACCAAACAGAUUCUUCAAGGAUCAUCUUAAGGAUACAUACCGGAAAAUGUUUGCUUUAAUUUUAAUUUCUUUUAAUUAGUACUUUGAUUUUAAUUUCUUUUCAUUAUUACGAGGAAAAGAGAAAAAUGGUAUUGAAUAUCUACUUUCAAGUUCUUGAGGAUAUGGUAAAAUUAGAUGUUAGUCCCUAACUUUCUAAAAUUCUAAAAUGAAUCCCUCGAAGUCACAUAAGAUUUAAGACUUCAAAUCUCAUUCAUUGCAAAACUAUUUGAGGAUAAAAUGUGAUUAGAGAAAUUAUUGUCGUUGAGCAAAUACGGCCCAAGAAAUCAAUAAUAACAGCAGACAAAGAACCAAUCUGUUAAUUAGGCCACUUAUUUCCUGAAUUUUAAUUUAUUUGAGAAUUGAUUCAUCAACUAAAAUUGACCUCCUGCAAUAUCGCUCAUUUAAAAUUGGAUCCUUUUGUUAAUUUUUGUAGGGUUUUUUUCCCUAUUAAUUAACGUUUAAAAAUCAACUCUGUAAAUAAUUUGAGUAUGUUGUACCCUUUACUUCUAGUUUUUGGUUAUUUUAAACCUCCCAUCUAUUUUUGUAUGUGAAAGUCAUAUGAUUUAUGUACAAAUUGAUCCAAACCCCUUGAUUUAUUGACUUGUUUCUUAACCUUUAGAUGAAUUUGACUUUUAAAUAAAAAAAAUAAAAAAUAUAUAUUUAAAAAUGAUACAAAAAUAUCCAUAAAUAGGAAAAAAUAUCCAUGAAAAAUAAAAAUAAAAAAGAAAAAAGAAAAUCUCAUAAAAUUCGGAAAACAAAAAAAAUCUCAAUUUUCAUCUUUGGACUUUUUUUCUGUAAUUAGAUUUAUUGCUAAAUUUUUUUAUUUUACCUCACAAUCAAUUUAACAGAAAAAUAAAAUAAAAUGGAGGGGAGGUUUAAAGUAAAAAAAAAAAGAAAAGAAUAAAAAUAGAAGUAAAGGGUUCAAUACGAUCAAAUUGUUUGUGGAGAGUUCAAUUUGAUGAAUUUCAAUAAUAGGGGGACAAUUUGUGAAACCUACAAAAUCUAACUUGAAGUAUUCAAUUUCAAACGAAUCAAAGUUGCUAGAGGUCAAUAUCAACUUCUUAAAUGAUGAACUAGUUUUCAAUUAACUUAAAUCUCAAAAGAGAUUUGAUCCACUUAAUUAAAAAAAACAAGAAGUCAAAAUUGGAGUAAACAGAAACAAAUUAAACUCCAUCGCUGUCUUUCUUGCAGAUGCACAUAAUUUUAUUAGCAAGUAUAUAUGACAUUACAUAGAGCAGGAGUCGCCUAUUACUAAACUGUGAUGAGUUAAUCAUUCAGAAACGUCAUCGCUCUCUUUCUGGUUUCUGGGUUUUGCGAUGGGUUCUUUCAAUUUGUCUAGCCAAAGAAAGGCCUGUCUCGGCAAGUUUUUUGACGUCUGGCACGUUUGUAGUUCUGCGAUAUGUAGAUCCCAGCCAGUGUCCCAAAUGAAUGAGAAGCUUCUCCUUAUCAGACCCAUGGCUGCCUCUUUUCUUCAAGGAACGAUGCUUCACUUGACUGAGCUAGCUACAGAAAAAGAAAAUUAAGCACUACUUAAGCAGGAACUAAUUCGGUAGCUUGGAGAAGGCAAGGUUGUUUAGCAGAGGAUUUAUAUAACUUGUGGGCGGUCCUGACGUAUUUCUCAAGACAUGAAGAAAACCAGAGUGACUCCUCCAGGGGUUUGAAUAUUUUUUUUUUUCAGUCCCGAGAUCUUGGUGAAAUUAUAUGUUUAGUCCUCGACUUUUUAAAAGUUACUAUUGAAUAUUAAAAAAAACUUAAUAAUUGUUCAAAAAAAAUAAAGAAUAAAAGAGAAAUCCAUAUAUUUUCUUUUAUAUUUUUUCCAAUGUUUAGAAUACAAGACAAAGAGUCUAUUUAUAAGGAAAAAAAAAUGAUAGCAGUAAUGGACACUAGAAGACUAAGUGUCAUGGAAAAUCAAGAAACUAAACUGUCAUGAAGUCUAAGAGAUUUUAAUGAGCUUUCAAUAUAUAUAUAUAUAUAUAUAUAUAUAUAUAGAUUUUAUAACAUUUUCUCUUGAACGACUAUGUACUAAAAAUGUGUCUUAUUAAAACUUUGUAAAGAAAAACUCAAUGGGAAGAAAAACCUAAGCGAAGAAAAAGAAGUACAACAUUCUUGUGUGAUUUCUGAAUACUUCAGAAUUCAAUAGAAGGUUUUAUAGAUACUUCAAGUUCACAUUAAUUUGUCCCUUAUCAAAAUGAGAUAGCUUCCGGUUAUUCCAAGUAAUUUCUUGUCAUGCUUCAGGUAGUAACUUUUUUUUCCCUGAUGAUGGGAAAAUAUUCAUUAAAAUGGUAAUGUUCAAAAUGUGUCUUAAAAACAUCACCGGUUAAAGGUUCAAGAAAUCUAAUAAUAGAUGGAGAAUCAAAACCAACAUAAAUUCAUAUUCUAUAUUGUGGAGCCAUUUUAGUCGUUUGUAGGGGCACUAUUGGCGCAUAUACAACACAACCAAAAGCUUAUAAAUGAAAUAUAUUUGAUGGUAUACAAAAAACAAGUUACAAAUGAAAAUAUCUAUGGUAAGCACUUGGUCUAAUUCUAACCAAUAAUGCAACAUGUAAUAUUGCAUGUCUACAAACAGAUGUAGGCAAUUUUUAUUUCAAAUGUAAUGGCCUAGCAAUUAAUUGAAGGCACUUAUAAAUGAUUCUGUUAGACCAUUUUGAUUAUAUACAUGAGCAAUAGGAUAUUUAACAUCAAAUCCAAUAGAAGUGCAAAAAUUAUCAAAUGCUUGAGUAUGCAAAGAUUAUCGAACUCACCAGCAUUGUCCAAUCAAAUUUUCUUGAUUGGAUAAUCAGGAGAUGUGUGUCCGUUGUAUGAUAAUAUGUGUUAUUAAUCUAGCAAAUACAACAUUUUGACUAGAAAGUUAACAAACAUGUGACCAUUUACUUCAUGCAUCAAUCAAUACCAUAAAAUAUCUAAAAGGUCUACAUGGUAGAUAAAUAGAUCCACAAAUAUCUCCUUGAUUUUUUUCAAGAAAAGAUGGUGAUUCUAUAACAACCUUAGAUGGAGAUGGUUUGGUAAUUAAUUUACCUUGAGAACAUGAGCGCAUGAUUUUCAUUUGGUAAAAGAAUCUUCAGAUUCUUUAAAUGAUGCCCAUGUGAAUUUUCAAUAAUUCAUUGUAUUAUUAUUGAUUCUAAAUGUUCAAGUCGAUCAUGUCAAAGCAUAAAUAUUUUUGGGUUAGAACACUUGUGGUGUGUCACAACAUUUAUUUCAAUAUAUUUCAUGAAUGUGUAAUAAAUUCUAGAAGAGAAAUUAGAUAAUUUUUCAGGUAUAAUCUCUAGCCUAAAAUACAUGAAAAAAUAUAAAGAUAUUCUUUUUUGUCUUCAUCUAUUGUUUCAAUAUGAUAACCAUUAAUACAUAUAUCUUUAAAAUUGAGUAAAUACUUUUAGACUUUGGUGAAUAUAAUGCAUCUUUGCUACCCAAAUUUGUGUUAUUUGGUAACAAAAUAUUAGCUUUUCUAGGGCCUUUAAUCAUGUCUAUUGGACCUAAUAUUACAGUGACAUUAGUUUUAGUUUUAGUUAAUGUCAAAUAUUCAAAGUAUUUUUUUCUUGAAAAUUAUGUGUACUAUUUGCAAGACAUAAAUCUUCAUCAUGAAAAGGCAUGCCUCUUUUUAAAAUAUAAUUAAAGUUUAUUAUUUAACUAAAAAUUGAUAUUAUUUAUUGAAAAUAUAAUAAGAUAAAUAUCUUAAUACAAAAAAAAUAUUAAUCAUCCCCAAGGAUUCCACCACUAAAUAUGUCAUCUAUUUUAUCCAGUGUUUUUAAACCCGGUCCGGUGACCGACCCGACCCAAGGUCCGAGUCACGGGUUUUGACCUGGUCACUCGAGUCAACCUCAUUUUUUUAUAAAUCAAAAUGACAUUGUUUUGGUAAAAAAUAAAAAUAAAAAUAAUCAACGGAUUACAACAAGGUUUUUGAUCGGGUCUUACCAGGUCAACCCGCCGGAUCGGCCAGGCUUUUAACUACCCCUAUUUUUUUAUAAAAUCAGCUUGAUUCUAGCUUCGGAUCAGCCAGGUCCCGAACCGACCUGCCAGUUUUAAAACUAUGAUUUUAUCAGGGUUUUCAAAGAAAUCAGAUAUUUAUAUUCCAAUUCCCCUGGUCUUGGUAAAAAUUAUAUAUUAGUCCUUGAGGCUGGUUUUAAUAACUCCACUCAUCAUAAUAUUUUUAUCCUUUUUCAUUUUGUUUCUUUUUAUAAAAUCUUUUAUCAGUUACAUCCUCAAUCCAACUAUUAUAUUUCAAGAUGAUGGUGCAGGAAGAUUUUCAUACGAUGUGAUUCGUAAUCUACAGCCAAGAUCUGAAAGUAGAACGACAAUUAAAAAAAAUAAAGUAACUAUUUAAUUAAAAACCAUAGUAAAUCAAAUUAACACAGUACAUCAUCAAACCAUUUAUAAGCAACACUGACCUCCAAACAACAACACAGGAUUCUUACAAGUAAGUAACACAACAUAAAUCUUCAUUAGCGCUCUAAUUAUUCUUUCAAUUACUAGCAAGUGGCAUGUCCGAGGUUGUUGCCUGUUCAGUUCCUGGGCUUGCAGCCCUGCGUGCUUGACGAGGACAAGUCCGUUUCCGGUGAGCUUCAGGAUUUUCCCAACGUUGUGCUCCUCUCAUAACGAAGGCUCCAAACACAGUUCCCAUAAAAAAGGCAAAAACAGGCCUCAUCUCCCUUGUUGUUUGUUUAUAAACUCUACUCUAGAUAUUGUGUAAAAGCAAGAGCAAGACUAGAUAUGGUGUUGGGAACUAGGCGAUUGAGCUGGUGGGAUUUAUAAAAGUUUUGUCUUUAGAAGACAUCUUGAUGCCCAAGUUGUCUUUGCAAAUGAUUUCACUAAGCUAGCCUCUACUCCAAGGGUCAACCCCGCUGUCUUGCCGUGUUAAAUAUUUUAUUCUAGAUGGCGGCAUCCAUACUUGGUGGAUAAGGUGCAAAUUUGACUGGGUCAGUUAGCAUUUCUGGUCUAAACCAGCCCCUAACAAUCAAUGAAUUUGCUCUCAUUAAUGGGACUUCCUCGAAAAUAAAAUAAAGAACGAAUCAAUAAAGGAAAAGAAAAUAAACUUUUUUUUAUUUUGUCCUUAAAUCGUAUCUUUGAUAUGUGUAAAUGAUCAUGCUUUAGGUGAUGAUAAACUUAUUAUGUUCUUAAACUAUCAUCCAUUCAUGGGGGGUUUUAUUUAUUUUUCUCAGAUUCUUUUUUGAAGAACUUCAUGAAUUGGAUUAAAAAUGUAGAUAUAAUAUGCUAGUGAGAGAGUGUAUGAGAGAUAGGGACAGUGAUGCUUGAUACUUUCUAUUAAAAAAUAUGUUUUUGUCUUAAUUGUAUUCUUGUAUUGUCAAAUAACUGGUUGAUAGUGUUGAUGCAAAAAAAAUUAUCGUUAUUGUUUAAUUGAAAAAAGAUGUAUUUCUUUAAUUAUUUUUCAAUUUCAGUUUUUUUUUUUUCGUUCUUACCUUUUGAUUUAUAUUGAGAUAUCCCAUAAACUUUGGAGAUGAAAUUAAGAUUUACACAUAGCGGAACAGAAAUAAAGAUAGUAGGUCUAAUCGAAACAAAUCAAAAGUUUUAAAUGAAACUGAAAAAAUACAUGAACCUGGAGAUUAAAUUUGUGAAACCUACAAAAUCUAACUUGAAGUAUUCAAUUUCAAACGAAUCAAAGUUGCUAGAGGUCAAUAUCAACUUCUUAAAUGAUGAACUAGUUUUCAAUUAACUUAAAUCUCAAAAGAGAUUUGAUCCACUUAAUUAAAAAAAACAAGAAGUCAAAAUUGGAGUAAACAGAAACAAAUUAAACUCCAUCGCUGUCUUUCUUGCAGAUGCACAUAAUUUUAUUAGCAAGUAUAUAUGACAUUACAUAGAGCAGGAGUCGUCCUAUUACUAACUGUGAUGAGUUAAUCAUUCAGAAACGUCAUCGCUCUCUUUCUGGUUUCUGGGUUUGCGAUGGGUUCUUUCAAUUUGUCUAGCCAAAGAAAGGCCUGUCUCGGCAAGUUUUUUGACGUCUGGCACGUUGUAGUUCUGCGAUAUGUAGAUCCCAGCCAGUGUCCCCAACAUGAAUGAGAAGCUUCUCCUUAUCAGACCCAUGGCUGCCUCUUUUCUUCAAGGAACGAUGCUUCACUUGACUGAGCUAGCUACAGAAAAAGAAAAUUAAGCACUACUUAAGCAGGAACUAAUUCGGUAGCUUGGAGAAGGCAAGGUUGUUUAGCAGAGGAUUUAUAUAACUUGUGGGCGGUCCUGACGUAUUUCUCAAGACAUGAAGAAAACCAGAGUGACUCCUCCAGGGGUUUGAAUAUUUAUUUUUCAGUCCCGAGAUCUUGGUGAAAUUAUAUGUUAGUCCUCGACUUUUUAAAAGUUACUAUUGAAUAUUAAAAAAAACUUAAUAAUUGUUAAAAAAAAAUAAAGAAUAAAAGAGAAAUCCAUAUAUUUUCUUUUAUAUUUUUUCCAAUGUUUAGACAAAGAGUCUAUUUAUAUAUAUAAAAAAUGAUAGCAUUAAUGGAAACUAGAAAACUCAAGUGUCAUUAAAAAUCAAGAGACUAAAUUCAAGAGUCAUGAAGUCUAACAAAUUUUAAUGAGCUUUCAAUAUAUAUAAUUAUAGAUUUUAUAACACUUUCUCUUGAAUACUUUAUACUAAAAAUAUUACUCAUUAAAACCUUGUAAAGAAAAACCUAAUGGAAAGAAAAACCUAAGCAAAGAAAAAAGAAUACAACAUUCUUGUGUGAUUUUUGAAUACUUCAGAAUUCAAUAGAAGGUUUUAUAUAGAUACUUCAAGUUUAUAUUAAUUUAUUCCUUAUCAAAAUGAGAUAACUUAGGGUUAUUUCGAGUAAUUUCUUGUCAUGUUUCAUGCAGUAACUUUUCUUUCCCUGAUGAUGAGAAAAUGUUCUCAUCAAAAUGGUAAUAUUCAAAACGUGCUUUAAAAACACCAGGUCAAUCCUAUUUUUUAUAAAUCAAAACGAUGUUGUUUUGAUAAAUAAUAAAAAAAUAAUCAAUGGGUUGCAACCAGGUUUUUUAUCGGGUCUUUCGACUCACUCCAGGUCAACUCGUCGGGUCGGCCGGGUUUUUAACUACCCCUAUUUUUUUCAUAAACUCAGCCCGGUUCCAAUCCCGGAUCAGUUGGGUCCUGGGCCGACCUGUCGGGCUGAGUUUUAAAACUAUGGUUUUAUCAUGUUCUCGACAAAAUCAGAUAUUUAUUUUCCAAUUCCCAGGUCUUGGUAAAAAAUAUAUAUUAGUCCUUGAGGUUGGGUUUAAUAACUCCACUCGUCAUAAUAUUUUUAUACUUUCCAUUUUGUUUCUUUUUAUAAAAUAUUUUAUCAGUUACAUCCUCAAUCCAACUAUUAUAUUUCAAGAUGAUGGUGCAGGAAGAUUUUCAUAUGAUGUGAUUCGUAAUCUACAUGCCAAGAUCUGAAAGUAGAACGACAAUUAAAGCAAAUAAAGUAACUAUUUAAUUAAAAACCAUAGUAAAUCAAAUUAACACAGUACAUCAUCAAACCAUUUAUAAGCAACACUGACCUCCAAACAACAACACAGGAUUCUUAAAAGUAAGUAACACAACAUAAAUCUUCAUUAGCGUUCUAAUUAUUCUUUCAAUUACUAGCAAGUGGCAUGUCCGAGGUCGUUGCCUGUUCAGUUCCUGGGCUUGCAGCCCUGCGUGCUUGACGAGGACAAGUCCGUUUCCGGUGAGCUUCAGGAUUUUCCCAACGUUGUGCUCCUCUCAUAACGAAGGCUCCAAACACAGUUCCCAUAAAAAAGGCAAAAACAGGCCUCAUCUCCCUUGUUGUUUGUUUAUAAACUCUACUCUAGAUAUUGUGUAAAAGCAAGAGCAAGACUAGAUAUGGUGUUGGGAACUAGGCGAUUGAGCUAGUGGGAUUUAUAAAAGUUUUGUCUUUUAGAAGACAUCUUGAUGCCCAAGUUGUCUUUGCAAAUGAUUUCACUAAAUAAAGCUAGCCUCUAC
rnacentral:lncRNA from 1 species